rnacentral:rRNA from 1 species
GAUGAACGCUGGCGGCGUGCCUAAUACAUGCAAGUCGAGCGAACGGACGAGAAGCUUGCUUCUCUGAUGUUAGCGGCGGGCGGGUGAGUAACACGUGGAUAACCUACCUAUAAGACUGGGAUAACUUCGGGAAACCGGAGCUAAUACCGGAUAAUAUUUUGAACCGCAUGGUUCAAAAGUGAAAGACGGUCUUGCUGUCACUUCUAGAUGGAUCCGCGCUGCAUUAGCUAGUUGGUAAGGUAACGGCUUACCACGGCGACGAUGCAUAGCCGACCUGCGAGAGGGAUCGCCGACAUGGGAGGUGAGACGCGGUCCAGAGUACUACGGGAGGGAGCAGUAGGGAAUGUUCGGCAAUGGGCGGAAGCCUGACGGAGCAACGCGGCGUGUGUGAUGAAGGCGCUGGGAGCGUGAAGAUCUGUUAUGAGGGGUAAACAGAUUUGGAAGGAGCUGAGGAGAGAGUGACGGUAACUAGUAAGAAAGCCACGGCUAACUACGUG